UAACUGAAGAGUUUGAUCAUGGCUCAGAUUGAACGCUGGCGGCAGGCUUAACACAUGCAAGUCGAGCGGGGGAAGGUAGCUUGCUACCGGACCUAGCGGCGGACGGGUGAGUAAUGCUUAGGAAUCUGCCUAUUAGUGGGGGACAACAUCUCGAAAGGGAUGCUAAUACCGCAUACGUCCUACGGGAGAAAGCAGGGGAUCUUCGGACCUUGCGCUAAUAGAUGAGCCUAAGUCGGAUUAGCUAGUUGGUGGGGUAAAGGCCUACCAAGGCGACGAUCUGUAGCGGGUCUGAGAGGAUGAUCCGCCACACUGGGACUGAGACACGGCCCAGACUCCUACGGGAGGCAGCAGUGGGGAAUAUUGGACAAUGGGGGGAACCCUGAUCCAGCCAUGCCGCGUGUGUGAAGAAGGCCUUAUGGUUGUAAAGCACUUUAAGCGAGGAGGAGGCUACUUUAGUUAAUACCUAGAGAUAGUGGA
rnacentral:rRNA from 1 species